GCCUGGAUGGUGGAAUUGGCAGACACGCCAGACUUAGGAUCUGGUACCGCAAGGUGUGUGGGUUCGACUCCCUCUCCAGGCA
rnacentral:tRNA from 1 species